UACGUAGGGCGCAAGCGUUGUCCGGAAUUAUUGGGCGUAAAGAGCUCGUAGGCGGCUUGUCACGUCGGGUGUGAAAGCCCGGGGCUUAACCCCGGGUCUGCAUUCGAUACGGGCUAGCUAGAGUGUGGUAGGGGAGAUCGGAAUUCCUGGUGUAGCGGUGAAAUGCGCAGAUAUCAGGAGGAACACCAAUGGCGAAGGCAGCUCGCUGGAACGGUACUGACGCUGAGGCGCGAAAGCGUGGGGAGCGAACAGG
rnacentral:rRNA from 1 species